ACGGUACAACAUCAUCCCUCCAUCCAACCAUGAGAUUUUCUUCGAAGCAAUUCCUCUUUGCCUCCCUGGCACUGACAGCAACGACGACCACGACGAUGGUUCGAUC
rnacentral:ribozyme from 1 species